ACUUCCUUGACAAAAUCAAACAGCAUACAGACAAUCCAUGUAUGAAACGUAUUCCACACACUGGCUGUGCUGUACUAAGUAUGCUGCUGUGCGGCACACAGACAAACCACAGGUACUGAUCCUGUACUCACGGCGUGCACAGCUGUGUGGCGUGGACACUACCUUGUUCAUGACGAGCAGGGUGCCCUGCAGACCAGGUAUUUGCAAGGUCACCUCGAUCUUCUCUGUGCGUGGGUACAGGGCAUGCUGGCGAGCCUGCUCCAGGGAAAACACAGUGCUGCGCUGAUCACGCACCUCGUCAAUGAAUUAAUGGUGAAUACAUGAUAUUACAAUACACAUUUCCUAUGCCUAAACUAGUUUGAAGAUUCAAGAUUUAAUGGAUUUCGCCAUUCUUUGGUCAUCAUUGGAAUAGUGUUAUGGGAACUAGCUAACCCUUAAAUCUAUUGUCGAAAAAAACGUAUUUUUAACAAAUGUAAACUUUACGUACUGGGCAGUACAACUGCAGUGCCGCAGCCACAAUCUGACAGCAAGAAUAUGGCAACUGAUUUUCACAAUCCCACAUCCUAUACACAAAUUAGCGAUGCAGAAACCUAGAUUAGCUAUAUAAACUCUCACUGCCAUAGUUUACAACAUGGACAUUUGUUAACGAUGUCCUCAUCCUCUAAUACUGUACUUAGCAACCACCCAAGGUAAUUUUGUAUACAAGGAAGCUAGCCAAUGUUAUACGAGUGGCAGCGGUUGUGUGGUCAGACAUAUGCUGUAGAAAUUGGCAUACGAUACGUCACGCCAUUGUUGCUUUUGGCGAUUAAUCUCUGGUACUGGUUUAACAGUAGGCCACUAAUGCCGGGCUAAAUUAUGUGUAUUUUACACUGCUAUUUUCUCUGGAGUUCGUUUAGACGCCAUGCCUGCUUGAAGAGCAACGUUGACUUCGGUCCGGGUAGAUUCAAUUGUUGGGUUGUUGAGUAGUUCCCAUAUAAACGCUUGAGAGGACAGUAUGUUCCAAAAACACACAGCAGGUGUAGUUGUACUAUGUUUCAGUAAAGCAUGAACAAUGUUAUUGCUAGUUUUGUCUGUUCAGAGAUGUGAGUCACUGACCAACCAGAAUGUUAUUGUUGACAUCUGACCUAGGCUCAAUGCAUGGGGAUUUCUAGCCUGGGGCCUGUUGCACAAAAGUAGAAUUAAGACAUCCGGGAUAAAUGACUCAGCUGAGCUCAAUGAAGCCAAAACAUGUGCGUCCAGGCUUAAUUGGUUGCACAAAGACCAAGCCAGGAUGAGCAGACACGGAUUCAUUAAGCCAGGUGAAACCAAUCCUGGAUAGGUGCGCGCUCACGGCUCACUCAAAUAGACCCCGCCACAGAUCACAGAUUAACUGAUUUACCAUGGCAACUAGAGCCGCGUACUUUUCCCCGUCGGAAGCACAAAUCCUCAUGGAGGCAUACGAGGAGGUAAAAGAUAUAAUUAAGAAGAAAGGCAACACCGCCACAGUGAUAAAGCAAAGAGAAAAAGCGUGGCAAAGUAUUGCAGACCGCCUGAAUGCGUAAGUAGUGCACAAUUACACAGUCACCGCUCCGCUGAAACAUCACAAUUACAAUUCAAAUAUUUAAUUCACAUCUCCAAAAAUGCAGUUGUACUGUAAUUAUGAAACGGUUACAUUUUUAAUUGAAAUGCACUGCAGAUAUGAGUGAAAUUGUGUAAAGUAACUCCAUCACACUGUAUAAAGCUAUGAUAAAUGUUUUGAUAUUUUUACUGAAAACAAGACAAAAAUACCAAGUAAUUUUUUGCAGUGUGACUCCAUUAAAUGUGUGUGUGUGUGUGUGUGUGUAGAUUAAACAUGAACGGGCCAAAACGGACAUGGCAGCAGGUCAAAAUCAAAUACAAGAACAUUCUGCAGAAUGCAGUGAAAAAGAAUACCCACAGACAAGGCACGGGUGGUGGGUCACCAAAGGCUGACCUUACCCCAGCAGAGGACAUGGCCUUGGAGCUAAAUAAAGGCAGGCCCGUCUUAGAGGGGAUCCCUGGGGGGAAAGAGACGAGCAUAGGUUCCUCCCAAGAUGCCACCCGCUUCAUUCAAGUGUCUGGCAGCACUGUGUUCCUGUUAGAGCCACCAGCACAAGCACCAGACGAUGCUGAUCCAGGUGAAGGCCCCAGUGCAACAGCACAUGAUGGAGACGAUGAUGAGGAGGAGACCAUCUCUCUGGAUUCCAGAAGGCAUGAGGACCCAGAUGCUAUACAGUGAGAAAACCAGCCUGGCAACAUAGUGCGUAUUAAUAAAAGGACACCACAUCCUGCCAAAUUCCAGCUGCGCUAAUUGUAUUGUGUUCACAGAGCUCACAAGCUAUCAGAAAGUUGUAUGGCAACCACCUCCGGCGCCAAAUAGAACUGGCAGACAUAGACAUUCAGUACAAGAAGAAAAAUAUGGAAAAUCUUGCACUGGAGUCCGAAAUAAAAAAGAGGACAAUUAGGAAACUGGACCUUGAAAUAAAAAAACUUGAGAGGGAGCUCCAAGAAGAUGACACAGCUCAAAAUAAAAAUUAGCAAUCAGUACAACCAAGUCAUCGUUAUAAGGCAUCGCCCUCUUUUGCCCACCCCCCCCAGCACCAGGUGUGGCCACUAGCCUAUAUGAAGGCCCAAAAUUGUGUGUUCCUUUCUGCUCUGACAAUGGCAUGCCCAUUCGUGCGAGAUGUGGUGGAUGAAGAAGCACUUGUGCUGAGGAGAGCCUUCAGGCGAGAAAGGGUCUUCAGGGACCGGUUGGACCCACUGGCCUUCCCUGAUGACCAUCUAUAUGAAAGAUACAGGUUUUCUGCAGAUGGCAUCAGGUAUCUAUGCAGACUACUGGGUCCCAGGAUUAAGCACCGCACUGCACGGAGCCAUGCACUGAGUGUGGAGCAAAUGGUUUGUGUGGCCUUGCGCUUUUUUGCUAGUGGAGCCUUCCUGUACUCAGUGGGGGAUGCAGAACAGCUGAACAAGGCCACAAUUUGCCGCACAAUAAGGAGUGUGUGUCUGGCUAUCAA